GACGAACGCUGGCGGCGUGCUUAACACAUGCAAGUCGAACGGAAAGGCCCUGCUUUUGUGGGGUGCUCGAGUGGCGAACGGGUGAGUAACACGUGAGUAACCUGCCCUUGACUUUGGGAUAACUUCAGGAAACUGGGGCUAAUACCGGAUAGGAGCUCCUGCUGCAUGGUGGGGGUUGGAAAGUUUCGGCGGUUGGGGAUGGACUCGCGGCUUAUCAGCUUGUUGGUGGGGUAGUGGCUUACCAAGGCUUUGACGGGUAGCCGGCCUGAGGGGGUGACCGGCACAAGGCGGAGGCGGGCCGGGGCCCGCACACGGGGGGCGGACGGAGGGGGGAAUAGAGAAACGCGGGAGGCAGCAGCAAGCGGCAAGGGCGGGAGAGGGAAGCCGGCCGUGGGGUUGUAAGCCGCCUCCGCGUGGGAGGAAGAGGGGAGUGUGGUAGGGAAAAAAGACGCACCGGCUAACAACGAGACAGCGGCCGCGGUAAUAAACGGACACGCACUCGCCUAACC
rnacentral:rRNA from 1 species